GCAAUAAUUUCUGCAUUUACAGUAUGCUGCUCCAAAAAUAGAGGUGCACAUACAGUACUGUACCAUCAAUAGAGGUGCAUUUCUCCUAAUUUUAUAACUAAAGAGAAUAUUCUCUGUAGAUGAAAAGAACAAAUAUUUCAUUAUGAUACAAUAAAAUUCUAGUAAAUGUACAGUGAAACAAUUGGGGAAAUCAUUUUCCAACAAUUUUCCUCCAAAAAAUGUUAAACCAUAUUGAUGUUUAUAGGUCCUUACUAAGAAGUAUGUAUUUUAUUUAGGAUAGUCAACUUUAGAGAGUUUUCAUUCAAUGGCAGCUACCCAUCAUGUUCAAAAAUAUUUUUUAAUUUCAAGAAAACCAAGAUAGAUUUUCAUAAUUGUAAAUAACCGUUGUAACUAUUAUAUUUUUAUCUUCAUUUCAUAUAAUCACAAAAUCAUUUUGUAAUUAAACAUUAUAGCUAGGUUUUCAGACUGGAAUAUUUUAUCAUAACACAAGGAUUUUUUUCCAGUAAUAAUGAACCUACAUCUUUGUUAUUCAUAGAACAUACUGGGGAUUUAUUAUAAUUCAUGGGAUAACAAUUUUUGUGGAUUUCAUAGGUAAAGAUGAACCGCAAAUUUAAAUAUUUAACGAAAUACAACUGUUCUAUAGGCUUGUAUCUGUUCUAUAGGCUUGUAUCUGUUCUAUAGGCUUGUAUCUGUUCUAUAGGUUUGUAUCUGUUCUAUAGGCUUGUAUCUGUUCUAUAGGCUUGUAUCUGUUCUAUAUGCUUAUAUCUGUUCUAUAGGCUUGUAUGCAGAUUUUGGCAAAAUCACGAAAUUAGAUAUCCAUGAAAAUGCAAUGUUUACUGAAUCCACGAAAAUUGGUACCUGUGAAAAUAAAUGAAUCCACGAAAAUUGGUACCCAUGAAAAUAAAUGAAUCCACAGUAUAUACAUCUAACCAACUUGUACCAUGUUAUAUUUAACUAACAAACACUUGUAUUUAUCAAUUCAUAAUCAUUUUCUGGAAAUAAUGACCCAGUUUUAAAGCCUCGUUCUGAAUACUUAAAAGUCUGAAAACCUAGUAAUAUUUAGCCAGUCAGCAUUUGGUACCAUUUUGGUUUAUUUAAAAACAAAAAUAAAAGAAUAUUAAGGAA
rnacentral:lncRNA from 1 species